rnacentral:rRNA from 1 species
GCACCACCAGGAGUGGCAUGCGGCUUAAUUUGACUCAACACGGGAAAACUCACCCGGCCCGGACACUGGAAGGAUUGACAGAUUGACAGCUCAGCUCUUUCUUGAUUCAGUGGGUAGUGGUGCAUGGCCGUUCUUAGUUGGUGGAGCGAUUUGUCUGGUUAAUUCCGAUAACGAACGAGACUCUACCCUAUUAAAUAGUGACAGUAUUGUAUUUUUUGUGCUGAUCACUUCUUAGAGGGACUGGCAAAUUGAAAGCUGCACGAAAAAGAGCAAUAACAGGUCUGUGAUGCCCUUCGAUGUCCGGGGCUGCACGCGCGCUACAAUGAAAGCGUCAACGUGAGUUACGUCCUUACCUGAAAAGGUUUGGCAAUCGAAUGAAACGUUUUCUUGAAUGGAAUAGGGAAUUGCAAUUGUUUCCCUUGAACGAGGAAUUCCCAGUAAGCGUGAGUCAUUAGCUCGCGUUGAUUACGUCCCUGCCCUUUGUACACACGCCCGUCGCUACUACCGAUUGGAUGAUUU